GAAGUUCGUCUGCAUUCUCCACCCUGCCGGUCUGCCACUCUGAUGCUGUUCUGAAGAGAGCGUGAUUGAAACAGAUUGUGGCUGAGUGACCGGCCUUUACAAUAUACAUUAACCAGUCGUGGGGAGAGGAGUAGUUUUACAAAGUAGAGUGAAAUUGAAUUAAUUGCUUAAAAAGUUCAUUGACGUUUGAAGGUGUGCCAACAUUGGGGUUCACCACCGCAUCCCGCGUGAAUUUGUCUACCCUUUUCAACAAGCAGUUGGUGACCAAACAGCAGUAAAGUUAGACGGUUGGCUGACUGCAAUUUCAUGAUGGAGAAUGCCACUAUGUCUUCAACAGUAUAUCUAACAGGGACUACAAAGUCAGAUCGGUGUGAAUGCCUAGUCGCCCCUAUGGCUGUCGAUGUGGAUCAAUUAUUAGAAAUAAACACUGUUGAUCAAUUACAGUGAAGAAGCGAAACAAUGAGACCUUUCAUCUCCAUGGGAAUUGAACUAACCACCGACCUUGUAAGUCUGUUCUAUGGAACACGAGCUGCGGACAUCGAGAAACUAAGUAUGUAGGUAGAGAACCCGUUGGCUUUUGUCAAACUUGCUGGUCUAGAAGGAAACGUACCUCACUUGGAACACAUCUUUGUCUACAACCUCCAGCAAUAACAUUUCAACUUGGAAAGACUCGACGGCAUGAGCGAACUGAGCGUUUGUCAUCUAAUCACGGAUAGCUGUGAUGUUGAUUUUUUAAAACCAAAACUUUGUCGUUGGUUGAUCCCUUAUUUACGUCGACUGGAUACCCUUACAGCCUGAUAGUAUCAAGGAGUUAUUACGAGGCUUACUUACGUAUCAGGCUAGCCCGAUUGUCGUCGACGCAAACUUUCCAAGCCCUGGAAUGCAUAUGCCUGCCAGAAGAACGACCAACUUGUAGUGGACAUGACAUUUUUCGAUUGCUAGCCUGAGCGACCACCUGGCUCCAAAGCAGAUUCCCUACUUACCCAUUUACACCAUCAGUUGGAUUAUCUCCAAUCUCAUUUAGAGGCAGCUAAUGUUUUAUUGUUGUCUACGGCCGAGUUGCACCAAAUUGGCAACGCCAACGCCACUCAUCUUCCACCAAAGAACGUUUGGCGUUUUCUGCUGUCUGCACUCUGCUGUUCAUUUGCAAAUUUUCUCACAGGACUUCGAAAGGUGUAAUGAGAAUUUGCAGUUCGUCGCGUCAAACUUUGAAGAAAAUUUAUUGAAAUUGUAGAUUUAAUUUAUAGAUCUAGAAAAGUGGGAAGGACAUUCCAUUACCAGCACGUGAUCGAUUCUGGUCGACGGUUCGCCAGAUCUCCGUGGAUUACAACAAGUGGUUCCUAUUAAUGUCUUACCUCGGUAUUGUGAUGAAGUGAGAAUUGAUGGCAAUUGAAGUAAACCUUAUCUACUUACCUGUGUGGGAAGACUAUCAAACAGCAGGUGGUUGGUGUUUGUUGGAGCAGUCUCUGGUAAAGCAAUCUAAUGUGCUUGCUGUUCUCAGCUUUUCAUGGUGCUGACAUUUUGGCAUGGUUUCACUUGAUUUGUGUCUGCUCAGUGUUUGCGUGUAUUUUAUUGAUAAGUAUUUUUGGGUUGAUAUUCAGAGAUAACCAAAAAUGUUGAGAACAUAGAAGACCAUGUCCUUCCAAAGAAAUCUGUCAUUCUGUCCUCCAACCCACUAAAUGUGGUAUGGUAUCAUUUCAGAUUUGUUAAGUUAGCAUUCCCUUCUUGCAUCCUAAGAAAGGUUACCAUUUUAUUGUAACAUAGGCAUGUUUUAUUUUACCUAACUUCCGUUCUUGCCUCUUGGAAUGUGUUCAGGCAUGUUUAUUGUUCAUAUUCUCCAGACAGGUAUGCCCUCUGGGUAUGCCUUGCAUAAUGUAGCGCUUAUGUCCUCCGGCCGCCAGGUGGCGCGAGCGUCGCGUCAAAACUCAGACAUUUUCACAUUUUCCAGCCACCGACUGAAAAUGUCUUCCAA